rnacentral:rRNA from 1 species
GACGAACGCUGGCGGCGUGCUUAACACAUGCAAGUCGAACGGAAAGGCCCUGCUUGCAGGGUUCUCGAGUGGCGAACGGGGGAGUAACACGUGGGUGAUCUGCCCUGCACUUCGGGAUAAGCCUGGGAAACUGGGCCUAAUACCGGACAGGAGCCAUUUUUAGUGUGAUGGUUGGAAAGUUUUUUCGGUGUAGGAUGAGCUCGCGGCCUAUCAGCUUGUUGGUGGGGUAAUGGCCUACCAAGGCGGCGACGGGUAGCCGGCCUGAGAGGGUGGACGGCCACAUUGAGACUUAGAGACGGCCCAGGCUGCUACGAGAGGCAGCAGUGGGGAAUAUUGAACAAUGGGCGCCAGGCUGGUGCAGCGAGGCCGCGUGGGGGAUGACGGCCUUCGUGUUGUAGACUCCUUUCGCUAGGGACGAAGCUUUUUGUGACGGUACCUAGAUAAGAAGCACCGGCUAACUACGUG